UACGUAGGGUGCAAGCGUUACUCGGAAUUACUGGGCGUAAAGCGUGCGCAGGCGGUUUUGUAAGUCUGUCGUGAAAUCCCCGGGCUUAACCUGGGAAUGGCGAUGGAGACUGCAAGGCUAGAGUUUGGCAGAGGGGGGUAGAAUUCCACGUGUAGCAGUGAAAUGCGUAGAGAUGUGGAGGAACACCGAUGGCGAAGGCAGCCCCCUGGGUCAAAACUGACGCUCAUGCACGAAAGCGUGGGGAGCAAACAGG
rnacentral:rRNA from 1 species